AGCACCACUUCGCCCUUCUACUACACUAAAUACACAAGCAACAGCAAGGUUCAUUGGACACUCACUUUCCCAUCUGACAUCCGAUCAGAAGAGGAGCAUGCAUGAAAUAAGUAGAGGAGAAAGGCGGAGUUGGUCUGGGCAGAAGAGAAAGCCUGAACCUUUAGUAGAAAAGAAGUCUGUUCGUGCUGCUGCAGAAGAGUUCUUUGCAAAGGCUUCUCAGGAACUUAUUGGACAUAGUGAUUGCAGGGUCAAGGGUCCUGUUAUACUCAUUUCUGAUGAAGAUGAGGACUAGAU